rnacentral:rRNA from 1 species
AGCGUACACGGUGGAUGCCCUGGCAGUCAGAGGCGAUGAAGGACGUGCUAAUCUGCGAUAAGCGUCGGUAAGGUGAUAUGAACCGUUAUAACCGGCGAUUUCCGAAUGGGGAAACCCAGUGUGAUUCGUCACACUAUCAUUAACUGAAUCCAUAGGUUAAUGAGGCGAACCGGGGGAACUGAAACAUCUAAGUACCCCGAGGAAAAGAAAUCAACCGAGAUUCCCCCAGUAGCGGCGAGCGAACGGGGAGCAGCCCAGAGCCUGAAUCAGUGUGUGUGUUAGUGGAAGCGUCUGGAAAGGCGUGCGAUACAGGGUGACAGCCCCGUACACAAAAAUGCACAUGCUGUGAGCUCGAUGAGUAGGGCGGGACACGUGGUAUCCUGUCUGAAUAUGGGGGGACCAUCCUCCAAGGCUAAAUACUCCUGACUGACCGAUAGUGAACCAGUACCGUGAGGGAAAGGCGAAAAGAACCCCGGCGAGGGGAGUGAAAAAGAACCUGAAACCGUGUACGUACAAGCAGUGGGAGCACAGAGCAAUCUGUGUGACUGCGUACCUUUUGUAUAAUGGGUCAGCGACUUAUAUUCUGUAGCAAGGUUAACCGAAUAGGGGAGCCGAAGGGAAACCGAGUCUUAACUGGGCGUUAAGUUGCAGGGUAUAGACCCGAAACCCGGUGAUCUAGCCAUGGGCAGGUUGAAGGUUGGGUAACACUAACUGGAGGACCGAACCGACUAAUGUUGAAAAAUUAGCGGAUGACUUGUGGCUGGGGGUGAAAGGCCAAUCAAACCGGGAGAUAGCUGGUUCUCCCCGAAAGCUAUUUAGGUAGCGCCUCGUGAAUUCAUCUCCGGGGGUAGAGCACUGUUUCGGCAAGGGGGUCAUCCCGACUUACCAACCCGAUGCAAACUGCGAAUACCGGAGAAUGUUAUCACGGGAGACACACGGCGGGUGCUAACGUCCGUCGUGAAGAGGGAAACAACCCAGACCGCCAGCUAAGGUCCCAAAGUCAUGGUUAAGUGGGAAACGAUGUGGGAAGGCCCAGACAGCCAGGAUGUUGGCUUAGAAGCAGCCAUCAUUUAAAGAAAGCGUAAUAGCUCACUGGUCGAGUCGGCCUGCGCGGAAGAUGUAACGGGGCUAAACCAUGCACCGAAGCUGCGGCAGCGACGCUUAUGCGUUGUUGGGUAGGGGAGCGUUCUGUAAGCCUGUGAAGGUGUGCUGUGAGGCAUGCUGGAGGUAUCAGAAGUGCGAAUGCUGACAUAAGUAACGAUAAAGCGGGUGAAAAGCCCGCUCGCCGGAAGACCAAGGGUUCCUGUCCAACGUUAAUCGGGGCAGGGUGAGUCGACCCCUAAGGCGAGGCCGAAAGGCGUAGUCGAUGGGAAACAGGUUAAUAUUCCUGUACUUGGUGUUACUGCGAAGGGGGGACGGAGAAGGCUAUGUUGGCCGGGCGACGGUUGUCCCGGUUUAAGCGUGUAGGCUGGUUUUCCAGGCAAAUCCGGAAAAUCAAGGCUGAGGCGUGAUGACGAGGCACUACGGUGCUGAAGCAACAAAUGCCCUGCUUCCAGGAAAAGCCUCUAAGCAUCAGGUAACAUCAAAUCGUACCCCAAACCGACACAGGUGGUCAGGUAGAGAAUACCAAGGCGCUUGAGAGAACUCGGGUGAAGGAACUAGGCAAAAUGGUGCCGUAACUUCGGGAGAAGGCACGCUGAUAUGUAGGUGAAGCGACUUGCUCGUGGAGCUGAAAUCAGUCGAAGAUACCAGCUGGCUGCAACUGUUUAUUAAAAACACAGCACUGUGCAAACACGAAAGUGGACGUAUACGGUGUGACGCCUGCCCGGUGCCGGAAGGUUAAUUGAUGGGGUCAGCGCAAGCGAAGCUCUUGAUCGAAGCCCCGGUAAACGGCGGCCGUAACUAUAACGGUCCUAAGGUAGCGAAAUUCCUUGUCGGGUAAGUUCCGACCUGCACGAAUGGCGUAAUGAUGGCCAGGCUGUCUCCACCCGAGACUCAGUGAAAUUGAACUCGCUGUGAAGAUGCAGUGUACCCGCGGCAAGACGGAAAGACCCCGUGAACCUUUACUAUAGCUUGACACUGAACAUUGAGCCUUGAUGUGUAGGAUAGGUGGGAGGCUUUGAAGUGUGGACGCCAGUCUGCAUGGAGCCGACCUUGAAAUACCACCCUUUAAUGUUUGAUGUUCUAACGUUGACCCGUAAUCCGGGUUGCGGACAGUGUCUGGUGGGUAGUUUGACUGGGGCGGUCUCCUCCUAAAGAGUAACGGAGGAGCACGAAGGUUGGCUAAUCCUGGUCGGACAUCAGGAGGUUAGUGCAAUGGCAUAAGCCAGCUUGACUGCGAGCGUGACGGCGCGAGCAGGUGCGAAAGCAGGUCAUAGUGAUCCGGUGGUUCUGAAUGGAAGGGCCAUCGCUCAACGGAUAAAAGGUACUCCGGGGAUAACAGGCUGAUACCGCCCAAGAGUUCAUAUCGACGGCGGUGUUUGGCACCUCGAUGUCGGCUCAUCACAUCCUGGGGCUGAAGUAGGUCCCAAGGGUAUGGCUGUUCGCCAUUUAAAGUGGUACGCGAGCUGGGUUUAGAACGUCGUGAGACAGUUCGGUCCCUAUCUGCCGUGGGCGCUGGAGAACUGAGGGGGGCUGCUCCUAGUACGAGAGGACCGGAGUGGACGCAUCACUGGUGUUCGGGUUGUCAUGCCAAUGGCACUGCCCGGUAGCUAAAUGCGGAAGAGAUAAGUGCUGAAAGCAUCUAAGCACGAAACUUGCCCCGAGAUGAGUUCU